UCCACAAAGCCACGAAGAAGCCAGGCCUU
rnacentral:piRNA from 1 species